UUCACGGAGAGUUUGAUCCUGGCUCAGGACGAACGCUGGCGGCGUGCUUAACACAUGCAAGUCGAACGAUGAACCACUUCGGUG
rnacentral:ncRNA from 2 species